rnacentral:antisense_RNA from 1 species
ACGUACAGGGAAGGUGAACAGUGAGUCAGCUCUUCCUUCCGCUAAGUCAACAUAGUGGCCUUAUUCCCACCACUCCAGGCUGGGAAAGCACAAACAUACAAGAAAUGCCUUUAAUCACGGAAUAAGACUAAGCCUCAAGCCCCCUCAUCUGCCAGAGUGUGCUCUGCUGUCAAACCUCAAAGUCAUUGAGAAACAAACCCUGAUAAUCUCACCCGGCUUCAAGACCAAGGGAGUCCUAGUAUCAUGGAGAAGAGCAAGGAGGGGCCCAGGGCUGCCGCAGGACAUGCCACUCCAGACAGAACUCAACUUCCCUAGUGACUAUUGGCUUUCCAACCUCUCCUCCAGCACAGCAGGCAGAUGACAAUACUUGCAAGACAUGAUGUGUUAAAUUAAAAAACAUGGUCUAUUUAACAAAUUCUUUUAUAAAUUUUUCUGGAUUCUCUGGCCAAAUUUUUCCUUGUAUAAAGCUAAAUCACACAUAGAAAAUG